rnacentral:rRNA from 1 species
UACGUAGGGUGCGAGCGUUAAUCGGAAUACUGGGCGUAAAGCGUGCGCAGGCGGUUCGUUGUGUCGGCGGUGAAAGCCCCGGGCUUAACCUGGGAAUGGCCGUUGAAACUGGCGAACUGGAGUGCGGCAGAGGGGGGAUGGAAUUCCGCGUGUAGCAGUGAAAUGCGUAGAUAUGCGGAGGACACCGAUGGCGAAGGCAAUCCCCUGGGCCUGCACUGACGCUCAUGCACGAAGCGUGGGAGCAAACAGG